ACACAGACAGUGGACGCUAAGCUCCAGUACACUCUCUGCUUAACCAUUGUUUUAUCGUGAAAAAAACAUGAAUGUUUUUUGUGUUUCAAUACUUUUGGCCUGGUUAUCGAGUGCCUUCAGUGCACGUGUGGAACAAACACCGCGUUGGGCAACAAAAGUAACCGGCGAAACUCUGACCAUCCAGUGCGCUUUACGUGAUAACUACUACUCGCUGCAUAGUACACUAUGGUUCCGGCAAAAACCGGGUCAAUCGCGACGGUAUCGAAUAUCGAUUGGAGGACGAUACGUUGAAAAAGUCAACAGACAGCAAAAUACAUUUUCCCUGCAGAUCAGGAACCUGGCCGUUGAUGACACGGCCACGUACGUCUGCCAGGGAAGGCACCGAAGUGAAUCAUUGUGUGACUAUGAUGGAGCUGGCACAACGCUGACUGUGAAACGUGCAAAACAACCGACACCACCAAUCAUCAACCUCUCCUACUCUGCAUCUGACGAACUAAAGGCAAAGGGUUUUGUCGAACUGAUUUGUCUCAUCGGCGAAUAUUAUCCCCAAGAUAUCAGGGUGAACUGGCAGAAAGACGGACAGGCCGUACAGUCCGGAUUUACCACUGCCCCCCCAGCUAAAACUGCAGACGGAACGUUUACCUCGACUAGUGUGUUCAAGGUGGCGCUUGACGACUGGGCCAGCGGUUCCCGAUACUCCUGCCAAGUUUCCCACUCUGCAACCGGCAGCAACCUCCAAAAAGACAUUCAAAAGACAUCAGACCUCGCGAUAUUUCUCAGAGAUCCCACCGUCGAAGAAAUUUGGUUCAACAAAACUGCGACCGUGGUCUGCGAAGUGAUCGCCACAGCUUCGACUGAAGUUACGAUCUCUUGGACAGUGGAUGGAAAGGAAAGAGUUGCUGAUAUUCAAACCGAUCAAGCUACCAAGGCCGGGAACCAGUACUUGACGAUCGGCCGCUUGACCAGUAACCUCACAGAAUGGGACAGCGGAGUGGAGUACUCGUGCUCGGCGCGGGACCAUCAAUCAGCUACUCCGGUAUCACAGCGGACACGGAAGGCUGAAGUCAAACCAGUGCAACCAACAAUCCGUCUCUUGCCGCCAUCUCCAGAGGAGCUUGAAAGUGCGAACUCCGCGACACUGACAUGUUUGAUCACAGAAUUCUAUCCAAACGAUAUAACUGUUUCCUGGGAGAAAGACGGAGCCGCAUUCCUCUCUAACGCUACAAACUUCCCCGCGGCGCUGGAACAGGGCAAGUUGUUCAGCACAAAGAGCCUUCUCAUCUUGACAGCAGCCGAUUGGAAGAAAGGAGCAAGAUACUCCUGUGUAGUCUCGCACCUCCCUUCACAAUCCACUCUAAAGCAAAGCAUCCGGAUCCCGAAAGGAGACUGCGAUGUGGUUGACAUCAAUGCUGCCAUACAAACACCUUCAUUUGAAGAGAUCUGGACGCUUCAGAAAGCAACUAUUGUUUGUGAAGUCGUUUACACCGAUUUGCAGAACGUCAAGGUCUCGUGGCGAGUGAAUGGGAGUCUGAGAAUGGAAGGGGUACAAACUCUGGAUCCUGAGUGGAGGGGAAGUAAAUCUGUCGUCGUCAGCAAGCUGAGGGUCAGCGUCGAAGAGUGGGAGAGUGGGGUUGAAUACCUGUGCUUUGUAGAAGACAGUGAUCUGCCAACACCAGUGAAAGUUUCCACGACAAGCUCCAAGGUUACCGAAAUGAAACGUCCUAAAGUCUACCUGCUGCACCCAUCAUCGGAAGAGAUUCAAGCCGAGAAAGUUGCCACGCUCGUUUGCCUCGCCACCGGGUUUUAUCCGUCAGACAUAUACGUCGCCUGGAUGGCCAACGACACCCUGUUGGAUUCGGGUUACACCAUCCAACUUGACACCGACAAGGAAAACGGCUCCAGCUCGGUUGCCAGCAAGUUAAAAGUGACUGCAGAGGACUGGGAGAAGGGGACCACCUUUAGCUGUUUGGUUGGACACCCGUCCCUCGCCACGAAUUUAGUCAGAAGUAUCAAUAAGGCUCACGGUAAACCUACUUUAGUUAAUGUGUCAAUCGUUCUGACCGACAGUUUUAAAUCGUGCAUCUAA